GUGGUGCCUCUUUUUGUGCAGAACAUUAGCCUGAGCAGUGCAUGUGCAGAAGGCAUACAGUGUGCGCAGCUGCCAAUUGAUGAAUUUAUGGAGCGCUGUGGGGGUACAGGAUGCAAGAUUCUUACUGUCAACCAGGUGUUUGACAUCUUGUUGAGUGUACACGAGACUCAAGGGGACUGGGCCAACUCUUUGGCAAAAGUUAUUCCAAAAAGGACAGGUCUUAGAAAGAAGCAGUCUUCCUGACAGACUGUGAAGCAAUGAUUGAAGUCUAGAAAAGAAUGUUCAUUAUGCACAUCACAUUUCCUCUGGGAAGUUGUUUUUGUUGGCCUGUAUGGUUUUACCUUUGUGAUGUAAAUAGUAGUAUAUAAUAGAUAGGUUGUGAAGGAAUAUUGGACAAAUACCCAAAUAUAUGUCUGAUCAUUAUUGGGAGUUGUGUUUGAUGUUAAGUUUAGGUAUUUUCAGAUCACAUGUGUGUUUAUAAAUACAAGCUAAAAGGACACUAUAGAGCAAAACAAUUUUUCUCGCAUAAGUAAAGUAGUCUUCCACGAUACUAAAAACACCAAGCUUUCUGCGCGAAGACGCUUAAUAAGCGAGAAAACGCGCAAAAAAGAAAAUACAGGUGGCGACACCACCUUGGAAUUCCCGCACCAUUUGCCGUGAUGUCAGAUAUUUUUUACUGCGCCUGCUUGGGCCUACGUAGUUCCUAAUCGCUUAAAUCGAAGUACAUUGUCCUCUGAGGGGACCAGAGACUUGACAUAACGAGUUUGUUGAAAUUUCAUCAAGCCAGUAACGCCAAAAUACGUUAAAUGCUCUUUGAAGUCUUUUACGUCACGAAUUACAAAGUUCGGUGCGAAAUUUAAAAAUGAAACUUUGAACUUGGUUUUCUCCUCUAAUAAUAAACCUAUGGUGGUGAAAUAAACUACACAAGAGUUUUCCGAGCACACAUUAUCAAUCUAAACCAAUUCAUUGUUUCUCUUUAGUGUCCAUUUAAGUGAUUGUGUCUGAUGAUCGCAUACAUGCUGCUCUGCAUUGCAAGGAGUUGAAAUAGCAUUCUGUUUUACAGUUGAAACUCGAUUUUAUGCAAUCCGUUUUUACGAAUUUCCCAAUUUAACGAAUAAAUUUGGAUUCCCCCCGCAGUUGCCCAUAGGCUUAAGGCUUUUACGAACUCGAAAUAACGAAAUAAACUUUGCUGCCAAACCCGAUUUAACGAAGCAUUUGGGAAAAAAAGUUGUGUAGAAAAAGUUUUUUUCAAAUUUAUGCCUUCUAAAAUGUCUGGCAGUGUGCUGCCAGCGUAGGAGUGGUACAAUUUACGCAGCGGAGGCAUUCUCGUUUUGGUUGUAACGAAACUACAAACCAAAACUGUACGGAAUGACAGACUGCGCAUUUCUUUCCAGGCUUUGGGUUAGUUUGACCAAAUGGCGAAAGCGGCAGUGGGUGCUUGAUCGCGCGUGCCUUAUUAUUGUGUGCACACAUUAUUUUUCUUUCUUCUGCUCUGCGCAUUUUGCGUCGCCGAAGGAUGGAGCCUCUGAAGAAGAAAGGAAAAGUAGUGACUCUUGAAGAAAAGGCAAACAUAAUCUGUGCUGUCGCGAGCGGACGAAAGAAAUGUGAGGUGGCCACGGAAGCACGGCAUCCCGGCGAGCAUGCUUUUGACCAUAUUGAAGGCGGUUUGC